CGCGUAGGCGGUUUGCUAAGUCACUUGUGAAAUCCCGGUGCUCAACGCCGGGGCUGCAGGUGAGACUGGCAGACUGGAGCUCGGUAGAGGCGAAUGGAAUUCCCGGUGUAGCGGUGGAAUGCGUAGAUAUCGGGAAGAACACCGGUGGCGAAGGCGGUUCGCUGGGCCGAUGCUGACGCUGAGGCGCGAAAGCGUGGGAGCAAACA
rnacentral:rRNA from 1 species